UUACGUUGGAGGGAGAACGGCCAGGGGUGAGAGUAGUGUUAGCUGUGCAGACGUGUGUGGCAGGCGUGUGCGGGCCGAGUGUGUGAGUGGACGCGUGGAUGUGUGAAUGAGCGCGUGGUGCGUGCAAGGGGAGUGCGUGCGCUCGCCCCCGUGCCCCUCCCCCGGCCUGCACAUUGAUCUUAUUUGAUCGGGUUGUGACUCCAGCCCCGCCGGACCGACCCGAAAUGAAAAGCUUCCCUCCUGCGAAGCCCCUUUCUCGGGGCGCUGUGCAGCGAGGCCCCUUGGGCGGUGGCAGCCCCGCGGUCCCGGAGCCGGUCCUCCGGAGCCCGGCGCUCAGAAGUGAUGAAUUGAUCAGAUAGACGAGGCCGGGCUUGUCCUGGGCCACUGAUUAUCGAGGCGAUUCUGAUCUGA